rnacentral:lncRNA from 1 species
GGCCUAUCAGCUACUCAGACAGAAGUGACCUCAUCAUCAAUAGCUGAGCCAUGUGCCUCCUGCUGGCCUAUCAGCUACUUACAAAGACUUGAUUUGACAUUGGUGAUUUUCUGGCAUAGCUCUCAUAGACAGUGGUGACCUCUCUACCCACACCCUGACCAUGUGCCUGGUGCCACCUGCAGCUCCCCUGCCUUCCCCCAAGGCUGAGCCAGCUCCUCAACAGCCUCCCUGAUUCACCUUGUGGCUUCACAAUGCUCAUAGUGAGCAAAACACCCAUUAUGGACCAGUUAGUACCCCCCAAAAAAGAUUAGCUUUUGCCUAGGUAGUCCCUACACGUAGCCCAUAAAGCACAGGAACUGGAAAAAGGCCUGCAAAUAAUUAUUGGCAACAUUUUCUGAUGGGAGAAUUGCAUGGGAGCAGCAAUCGUAAAUCUGAAGACAGCAGGGCCUCCUGUCCCAGGCAGAGGGAGAAGCCUUCCCGCAACUCAGAAGUCUGGUUCCUUCCCCAGUGCUCAACAAAACCAGCAAAUCCUCCACACAUCCAGGACAACCAGCAUUCUCCUAUUUCAUGGUUUCACCUUCUAGAGAUCCCUGAGGAAAGCAGCCCCGUCGCCAGCACCGCUGCCCCCGCCCCGGCGGGAGGGCACCCGCCGCCAUUUGAACGCGCCUGCAGCCCCCACCAAACCCACUCGCCCCCGAUCUCCCUCCCGAUCGCUUCUCGCCUGCUUUGCUCCUGCUCCGCUUUCAGGUCUUUCUUUGACGUCUUUUUUUUUCCACAUGUUGGACUACAAUUGGCUGACAGAGCCAUCAGUGAAACCCAGCCCCGCCCUCCUCCUCCUGACAGCCAAGAGGAGGGCUGCACAGGGCGAUGCCAUGGCAACRUUGGGCCYKCCUGCCCUGGCGGCCAGCUCCGCCCCCUCCCCUGCGGUCAGGCGCCAUGUUGUGGGCGGCAGCGCGGUGCGCGGCGGGGCCUGGGGGCAGCGCGGCACUGUGUGGGCGGGCAGUGCGGGGCCCCGGGGCGCGGCCGCUGCCCCAGCAUGGCUGGGCUGUGGGGCAGGGUCCCCGCGGGGCUGCUGGCUGCCCUGCGCCCUGGGGGCCGUGCGGGGCGCAGGGGGGCAGCGCUGGGGUGUGUGCUGGUGGCAACCCUGGUGCCGGUGUGGGGGCCCUGGGGCUGGCCGGGGUGCCAGAGCCCACAGGCAGCAUCCUGCUGCCCCCAGGGCAGGGCAGGGCAGGGCAGUGUCCUCUCGCCCCUCCUGCCCUGGCCCCCUGC